rnacentral:snRNA from 1 species
GUGCUUGCUUCGGCAGCACUUAUACUAAAAUUGGAAUGAUACAGAGAAGAUUAGCAUGGCCCCUGC